rnacentral:rRNA from 1 species
CCUACGGGCGGCAGCAGUGAGGAAUAUUGGUCAAUGGCCGCAGGGCUGAACCAGCCAAGUCGCGUGAGGGAUGACGGUCCUAUGGAUUGUAAACUUCUUUUGUCAGGGAGCAAAUGGCGCCACGUGUGGCGCUUUGCGAGUACCUUACGAAUAAGCCACGGCUAACUACGUGCCAGCAGCCGCGGUAAUACGUAGGUGGCAAGCGUUAUCCGGAUUUACUGGGUGUAAAGGGCGUGUAGGCGGGACUGUAAGUCAGAUGUGAAAACCACGGGCUCAACCUGUGGCCUGCAUUUGAAACUGUAGUUCUAGAGUACUGGAGAGGCAGACGGAAUUCCUGGUGUAGCGGUGAAAUGCGUAGAUAUUAGGAGGAACACCAGUGGCGAAGGCGGUCUGCUGGACAGCAACUGACGCUGAGGCGCGAAAGCGUGGGGAGCAAACAGGAUUAGAUACCCGAGUAGUC